CGGUACUAGUCCUCCUAGUAAAGACACACUAAAACAUUGAUUGUACAAAAUUUGACACCCUGAAGAAAUGUACUAUUUGAAUUACGUCAAUAGAAUGCACACACUGAGGAGAGAAUCAUUCUCCUUCAUACCGACUGAACCUGUCCAGCACAAUGGACAUCAGAAAGUUAUUCGCUCGGAGCAGGGAUAAAGCAGCAAGGAGAAAUGAGAGAGACAAAGAGGAGCAGCAGAGUGCCGGAGGAGGUGACGGAGGAGUUGAAGGAAAAGGUGAAGGAGAGAGGGAUGUUGAUGAGCACGAGCAGAGACUCAGUGCAGCAGAGUGCAGAGGAGGAGAGGAGCAGAUUGAAGGGACGCAGGUAGAGUUGGCAUUGAGAGAUGACACUGAC